rnacentral:rRNA from 1 species
CCUACGGGGGGCUGCAGUGGGGAAUAUUUGACAAUGGGGGGAACCCUGAUCCAGCCAUGCCGCGUGUGUGAAGAAGGCCCUCGGGUUGUAAAGCACUUUCAGUGAGGAAGAACGCCUGGUGGUUAAUACCCAUCAGGAAAGACAUCACUCACAGAAGAAGCACCGGCUAACUCCGUGCCAGCAGCCGCGGUAAUACGGAGGGUGCGAGCGUUAAUCGGAAUUACUGGGCGUAAAGCGCGCGUAGGUGGCUUGAUAAGCCGGUUGUGAAAGCCCCGGGCUCAACCUGGGAACGGCAUCCGGAACUGUCAAGCUAGAGUGCAGGAGAGGAAGGUAGAAUUCCCGGUGUAGCGGUGAAAUGCGUAGAGAUCGGGAGGAAUACCAGUGGCGAAGGCGGCCUUCUGGACUGACACUGACACUGAGGUGCGAAAGCGUGGGUAGCAAACAGGAUUAGAUACCCGAGUAGUC